GACCCCGCCCCUCUCCGGUCACACCCCGUGGGCGGAGCUCCGGUCGUCAGUGCUCUGGCUGCCGGCUCCAUGCGCCCCGGGACCCGGCGGAGGCACCAUGAGGAGCGGCUGCAGCAGCGGGGCCAUCCCGGGCCUCCUACUGUUGCUGGUGCUGGGGACCCGUACUGGCAGAGCGCUGCCCCCUUCUGACUGUGAGGAGAACCAGUUCCAGUGCUUGAACCAGCGCUGCAUCCCCAGCCUGUGGAGAUGUGAUGAGGAUGAUGACUGCUCCGAUAACAGUGAUGAAGAGGACUGCCCUAAAACAACCUGUGCAGAGACCGAGUUUACCUGUGACAAUGGCCACUGUGUGUCAGCUCGCUGGAAGUGUGACGGUGAGGAGGAAUGUCCUGACGGAAGUGACGAGUCUGAAGCCACCUGCAGUUACAUGAAGCAGGUUUGUGCUGCAGAGAAGUUUAGCUGUGGAGAGUCCAGCAGUAAAUGUAUCCCGGCCACCUGGAGAUGUGAUGGAGAGAGGGACUGUGAAAAUGGCAUCGAUGAGAAGGACUGCCCUUCUGGUUGCCCGCGGGGCGAGUUCCAGUGCAGCAAUAAGUUCUGCGUCUCUUCGAGCUUCGUGUGCGAUGGCAUCGAUAACUGUGGAGACGGAAGCGAUGAAGUGGAUUGCGCCUUAGUCACGUGUAAAUCAGGACAGUUUCGCUGUGGGAAGGGUGUGUGUAUCCCCGAGAAGUGGGUGUGCGAUGGACAAGCCGAUUGUGCGGACCAGUCAGACGAAUCCGAGGAUCGCUGCGGUCUGAAAAGUCAGCCCCAGGCAGUAACGCAAUGCGGUGCCCUAGAGUUCAGAUGUGGCAACGGCAAGUGUAUUCACCUCAACUGGAGGUGUGACGGGGACCAGGACUGCAAAGACAACUCCGAUGAGAAGGAUUGCCCUAUGGUAUCCUGUCGUCCGGAUGAAUUUCAGUGUGGAGAUGGAUCCUGUGUAUAUGGGAUGUAUCAGUGUAAUGGGGUGAGAGACUGCCUUGAUGGUAGUGAUGAGACUGGAUGCCGCACUGCGGUGGAAAUGCCAUGUGAAGCAGAAGGAACAUUUCAGUGCAAAAGCGGAGAAUGCAUUGACAUUCGAAAAGUGUGCGACUCCCGUCAGGACUGCAGAGACUGGUCUGAUGAGCCCCUGAAGGAAUGCGGUGUCAACGAGUGUGUGAUAAAUAAUGGCGGCUGUUCGCACAUCUGUAAGGACCUGAUGGUGGGACACGAAUGUGAUUGCCCCACAGGCUACAAGUUAAUUGACAAAAAAACCUGCGGAGACAUAGACGAGUGCGAGAACCCCGAUGCGUGCAGCCAGAUCUGCGUCAACUACAAAGGAGACUAUAAGUGCGAAUGUUAUGAAGGAUUUCAGAUGGACAGUGUUUCUAAGACGUGCAAGGCAGCAGGACAGAGUCCAUAUCUGAUCUUCACAAACCGCCACGAACUCCGCCAGAUCGAUCUGGUCCGCAGAGAUUACUCGCGCCUCGCCUCACAAUUAAAAAAUGUCGUGUCUCUGGAUGUAGAAGUGACAAGCAAAAAGAUUUACUGGUGCGACCUUUUCCAUCGCAAAAUUUACAGUUCUCCUCUGGAUCGUGCCUCAGACCCUGCAGAACAUUUCGUCUUGGUGAACAGCCAUCUCCACUCCCCCGAGGGUCUUGCUGUGGACUGGAUCCAUAAGAACAUUUACUGGACGGAUUCCGAAAAUAAGACCAUUUCUGUCGCGACCACCGAUGGCUGCAAACGGAAAACGCUGUUUAACCAGGGCCUGGGGGACCCAAGAGCCAUUGCGGUGGACCCUACAACAGGGUUCAUGUUCUGGUCGGACUGGGGAGACCCAGCUAAGAUAGAGAAAGCCGGACUGAAUGGAGGUGACCGCCAGGUGCUGGUUUCUGAUGAAAUCGAAUGGCCCAAUGGGAUCACAUUAGAUGUGCUGACCCACCGCCUGUACUGGGUGGAUUCCAAGCUCCAUACCCUCUCCAGCGUGGACUUUAAUGGCUCCAACAGGAAGCUGCUCAUCUUCUCCGAGGAUAAGCUCAGUCACCCGUUUGGUCUGGCAGUUUUUGAGGAUAAGGUGUUCUGGACCGACCUGGAGAAUGAAGCCAUCUUUAGCGCCAACAGAUUGACAGGAAAAGACAUUCAGGUCCUUGCUGAGAAUCUCAACAAUCCUCAUGAUAUUGUUGUUGUUCACCAGUUAAAGCAACCAAAAGCUGUUAAUGCCUGUAACCAAGGGGCACUACCGAAUGGUGGGUGUGAGUAUCUGUGCCUGGCCGCCCCGCAGAUUUCUGUCCAUUCUCCCAAGUACACAUGUGCCUGUGCAGACGGCGUGGAGCUGGGGCCGGAUAUGAGGAGCUGUGGCAAAGUUGCAGUGACAACUACUCAAGCAACUUUACCCCCGCUCCUGACUGAGUCCCCCACUACAGAGCCUAUUCCCACUACAGUUACCAAGACUACCACAAAGCCCCCCUCCACCACCAUCACUACCACCAUAGCCACUACCACUGAGACAACAUCUUAUUCCAGCCCUACGGACAACCUCCCAACUACCUCUAUGUCCAACCGCAGAGAAAUCCAGGUUACAACUACCGGGAACAACAGUAUAUACCAACACUAUGAAAAUGAUGAUUCUGACCUCAGGUCCACGCUGACUGCUGCAGUCAUUGGUGUAGCAGUACCAGUGGCUGUUCUUGCCCUCCUCUGCUUGUCUGGAUAUCUCAUUUGGAGAAACUGGAAGCGGAAGAAUACGAAGAGCAUGAAUUUUGAUAAUCCAGUCUACCGGAAAACUACUGAAGAAGAAGAGGAGGAAGAAGAAGAGAUUCACAUUGGUCGAACAACUCAGAUUGGGCAUGUCUAUCCAGCUCGAGUGGCAUUGAGCCUGGAAGACGACGGUUUGCCUUGAGGAGCGAAACCAGGUCUGACAUUUUCUGAGUUGAGUGAGGAACAUCAGGAAAUCUGUCACCGGUCCCGAGUUCCUCAGCAUGUGACAAGUCAACAAUAUGAUGUUAUGCGCUGCUGCGUCCGGGCAGAUCCGCUACAGAUCUGUGACACGUAACUGAUUGAGUCUAAUAGUCUGAGGUGUCCUGGAUCCCCGGGAACGACAACGAUUCCAUAUAUCUUAUGCAGCAAAGACAUUUUUUUCUACACUCACCACUGAAACUCCUAAAACCCGCUGUUAUUUAUUUUGGUGAUGGACAACCACAAAAAUUUACUGAUUCAAACAUCCAAAGGAUGUAAGGGUUUCUAUGUAUAAUCUUUUAUACAGAUUUUUACUUGAUCCGAGGCGUCCCCUCCUCUCUCUCUUCCUCCCCUCCUCUGUAUAUAGCCGGCUCCUGGGACAACCUGCCGUUUUAAAAUUAUUAUAUUUAUAACCUCUUUUUUUGUACAUAACAAAACUUUGUGGUUCUCCAUCAACAUAUGCAUUAACUUAAUGAUGAAAAUUUAGGAAUUCUUUUUGUAGGAUAUUUAUUAACCUGGACGUGUAUGGAGGGGGUUGUAUAGAGGGAGUAGGAUGGGGAGGGGGGGGAUACGCGAUUGGGAAAUGGACGUUCCCUCUGUAAAUAUGACAGGGAUGAGAGUAUUUAUUUUUUGUAUGUUCCAGCUUUAUAUGUUGGCAGCAGUAGAAAUCUGAUCUGAUCAUUAUAUUGUAGGAGAAACUUGAAAACAAAAAAAUUACUUGUUACGAUUGAAUUUUUGUAGGUUCCCUUUCUAUAUAUAUAUAUAGUUGAAUUGUAAUCUGGUGAUGAUGACUGGAGAAAAAAAUAAUUAUUAAAAAAUAAAUAAAAUUAGGAAUGAAACAAAAAUCUGAAAAUAGAAGAGAAUUUUUCGGAAGACGAGUUUAACUCUUGACGUCCUGAAAUAUAUAGUUGGCUAAUACGCUAAACAACGGGGUGUCCUCUGCGGAUUUGUGGAUGGUGUAGUAUGACGGGUGUGACUUUAAAGACUCCAACGUAAUGAGAUUCAAUGCUCAGAGGAAUGUAAAAUAAUGUCUACAAUGUCUCCGGUUAUCACUUUUUUUUAUAGUCACUGACUUUCUUGGUAAAGACACACUUGACAGGUAAUGGUGGCGCUAGCUGUCACAGAAAGGGGUAUCGUGUUAUGUCAACCAUACGCACAAAGCAUAGGCGGCCAUUUAUAGUUAUGUGAUCCAUUGUUGGAAAGAGAGUGUUCUGCGAACGUUGUUCUGUAAGACAUCGUGCCGCCAUGGUUAUGGGUGGGGUCUUGGCUUUACCAAUUUCAUAUGGAGACAAACUGAGGUUUUUGUUGUCAGAUUAGUUAUAAUUGUAUCAGACUCAAUAUUAUAUAAUAUAUCAUCCUUCCUAGAAGCAUUAUUUUAGAGGAGAAUAACUCAAUACAUAUAUAUGUAUUUUUACAGGACUUAAAAGCUUAGUCUAUCACCCUCUAAAUCAGUGUUUCUUAACCAGGGUGCCUCCAGCUGUUGCAAAACUACAACUCCCAGCAUGCCCCGACAUGCUGGGAGUUGUAGUUUUGAAAUACUGGUUGGGAAACUAAAUAAAUUUAUACCUGCAGGAAGUGGCCUGAAUGUAGUCACUAGUUGACAUUAAAGGGAUCGUCCAGCGAAAGAAUGGAGCCAUACUGCUGAGAUCUUCCAUAACAGCUGUGCUCUCUCCCUUGUAAGCUGUGUAGUCACCUCACAGGCACUGAAUGCUGUCUUUCUUUCCCCCUCCCCUCCUGUCAGCACAGGAGGAGACCAGUGAUGUGAAGGGGGGAGCUGUUAUUAUUGCUCAUUAGAUUUGACUGAUUCCAUAAGGCAGCAGGGAGCCUGUUUGCAGCGGAAAAUGUUUAUUUCCUAAAUGUUUAUUUUGCCAUUUAAAAAAAUGCUAAAUCUCUUUGUUCUAAGCACGAGCCGCUUCUAAAGUGUUUCACUUGUGCUGUUCUAUUCUGUGUGCACCCUAUACAGCUUGUGUGACCUCAGACAUCCCAUUUGAGAACAGUUUUGGACGUUCCAGCCACAUAACAUAUUUGCUUUACAUUAGGUUUACAUCCAGAGCUAAAAUCAGAAUUCUGCUGGUUUUCCAGAGGGUAGCGCAUUGUAGAAACAUUGGAUAGUUAGGUUAAUGGUUGAACAACGGUUGAAUGAACAUUAGUCUGAUGAAUAAUGGUUUCCUGACACACAUUGAAGGAGUACUCCGCUGCUAGACAGCUUAUCCAAAGGAUAGGAGAUAAAAUGUCUGAUCGUGGGGUCUCGUUGCUGGGGCCCCCGCGAUCUCCCGCAGCACCCAACAUUCUAAACAAACGCCCGGUUCCUGCAGCAGUGGUCGUGACAUCACAGCCACGCCCCUCGUGACAUCACACCACUUCCUCUCUAUUCAUGUCUACGGGAGGUAGCGUGUCGACCGCCACACCCCCUCCCAUAGACAUGAAUGGAGGGGGCGUGACGUGACUUCACGGUCAAGGCCUCCGGUUCCGAGCGUUCUGAACAAAAUGUUAGAACACUGGAGCACCGAAGUACCCCUUUAAUACACAUGUUAGUCCAUAUCGGCCAUUACAGUGAACUGGCCAGUCAUUGUCAAUGAUGCAAAGAUAAGGAUGAAAGAUCUUUCUGGGAACAUUUUGAGAAUAUUCCUUUCCAAAAGGAAAGAUAAAGAAUGCCGUCAAUCAGCUAAAACAAUCCAUUAUUGUUGAAUUUCAACCACCAAAUGAUCCUUUGCCCGUUUUUAUCAACUUUAACCUAAUAUGUACGGACAUCUAUGGCAGAGCCUGUACGGAGGCGCACAGAGUCCCUAUGGCCCUUUCCUGCUUUAUGGUGCCAACACGAUGUCUUAUGUAUCAUGGCAAUAUAUAUAUAUUCAUUCUCCCCAAUUAUUACAAAGUACAGUACAGCCCCGUGACUUAUAUAGGUUAUAUAAAGCUACAAUAGGCCGGGUUCCCACGUGUAAUAUGCACCUAUGUAUUUUAUUUUAUAGGCGCAUUAUCAGCAGAAAAAAAGGGUUACAAUUUUAUUGCGGCUUUCCUUUUUUAUUUUACCGAUUUAUGAACAAAAUUGCACACAUAAAAUACAUUGGUGCAUUUCACUCAGUGUGAACCUGGCCAUACAGUGAUUUGUACAAGGCUUUAAGGUGGUUGUCCGUGAAUCCUUUUUAGAGUGAAAUUUGGCUUUGUUGGGGUAAAAGCAACAAAAAAAAGAUGUACUCAUCAGCCCUGAUCGCCUUUCCCACUGUGCCCAGUUUCGCUGCACAGCACUUUCUGGUCUCUGUCUCGACACAAUGAAGUGCCCGCCCAGCCAAUCAGUGGUUGCAGUGUGACACGCCUCACUCACUGAUUGGCUAAGCCAGCACUUCCUUAUAUGGAGUUUAAGCUUCAGGAGUGCUGUGCAAUGGGACUGGGCACCGCCAGAACUGAAGGAGCAGGGAAUCAGGGCAGGUGAGUAUACUAUUUAUACCACAGAGUGGCCACAUUUAACUGUGGACAAUCCCUUUAAGCUGGCCAUACACAUUACAUCAAGUUCAAUGUUCUAAUAUGUAUGGGAAAUAAAAGUAUGAGCAUGCUGAAUCUCAACAUACAGAUUUUUGUUGGUGCAGAAGAGGCGUCUAAAUCUGGCUUAUUCCCCUCUUUUCAGCUGUUGGCUGCCCGGGCAUGCUGAGAGUUGUAGUUUUGUGAUGUCUGGAGGGCCACAAAUUGGAGACCACUGCCCUAGGUGUCUGUAAUCCCUUUCUCCUUUCAUUAUUGGCACCAAACUGCGUUACGUUUUCACGUCACCCAUUUAUAGGUGACCGGAUCGGACACUAAAAUGACUGCGUGUGGGUUUAUAUACUGCAGAUGCAUCUUGUUCUGUUAGAAUAAAAAUAUUUCAUUUUUAAUGACAAUAGAAAUGUCCUUUUUCUAGGUUUUAUGUAUUACUGUAGAGAAGUAUUUCUUCUGUUGCUGCUCUAUAGCAGUGGUCCGCAGGUUGAAGACCACUGCUCUAUAGGAUAGUAUUUUUUUCUCUUACUCCAAAUAAUACUGCCUUAAAUAAAUGGUGCAUUUCCUUCAGUCCCUUGUUCUGUGACUUUCCCAAACUACAGGUAAACUCAACUUUUGGCAAAAAUCUAUCCGCAGAAUAGGUGAUGAGUGUCUGACCUCUGGAACCCUGACAAUCACAAGAGUGGGGGUCUUGUGUUCCUUUGGUUAAAGGGGUACUCCGCUGCUCAGCAUUUUGAACGCCCCCUCCCAUAGACUUGCAUUGAGGGGGUGGGGCGUGAUGUCACGAGGUGGGUGGGCACGUGACCUCAUGAGCCACCGGCGCUGGCUAUAAGCAUUUUGAACAUUUUGUUCCGAACGCUGAGCAGCGGAGUACCCCUUUAAAUAGAAAGAUGGUCAGACAUGGGUGCUGUAAUUUCAUCCAACUCUACGGCCUGUUAGCCGAUUACUGUUCUUUACUAUCCUUGUCAGGUCUGUAGAGUUAAAUGGAGCAGCAGAGCACUUGUCCAACCACCACUCCAUUCAUCCAGGGAACAUAGAAGCUCUGUUGUUGAGGUCACUGGGGGUCUCGGUGGUCGUUCUGUACUGAUGAGGUGCAAGAACACAUGCGAAGCUGUCUACAGAUGGUUGUCCUUUUGGAUGAAGGUCUGGUUUGACUUAUACGAGAGAGAUUUCUUCCUUCUGAAAGAGUCAAUUCCCAUGUUAUACCUCUCAGAAAUGCAUAAAUUGACAACUGGGUGUUACCAAUUUCACUGUCAUUCAGGCAUGUCCUUAUAGAGUCUGACAGUAUCCAGUCAGUGUAGAAGGUGUUAGGGUGUAGUCACUAUGGAAUUUCCAUCUGGGAAAAAUUCACAACAGUGCCGACUGAAUCAGUCGAUGCUAGGACCAAUCGGACGGCAAUGCGUAUCCAAUUGACAUUCCUGAACGGAAUUCAGCUCAGAAAUUCAGAAUUCUGUAGUGUGAAUGUGCCCUUUGUCCAUAGUAAGACACCCUAUUGAUAAGUAGAAUGGUAACACCCAGCUGUCAAUUUAUUCAAACUUUUCCAGGUGGAAUAACAGAGGAAUGAUGCAACCCAGAGUUCUCCUGUUUAAAUGGGGCAGUGGGCGCACUACUGCUCUAUUCAACUGUGUGGGCCUAAUAGAGAUAGCCAAGCACUGUACUAAGCUUGGCUAUUCAAACAUGGAACAUGAGACCCCUGUUCUCUGUAAAGGUGUAUUCCGGUGGAAAACUAAUAUUUUUUUUUUUUUUUUUUUAAAUCAACUGGUGCCAG